UGGGGAAUAUUGGACAAUGGGCGGAAGCCUGAUCCAGCAACGCCGCGUGAGGGAUGACGGCCUUCGGGUUGUAAACCUCUUUCAGCACCGGCGAAUCGCCCGUGAGGGUGGUGACGGUAGGUGCAGAAGAAGGACCGGCCAACUACGUGCCAGCAGCCGCGGUAAUACGUAGGGUCCGAGCGUUGUCCGGAAUUAUUGGGCGUAAAGGGCUCGUAGGCGGUUUGUCGCGUCGGGAGUGAAAACACCGGGCUUAACUCGGUGCUUGCUUUCGAUACGGGCAGACUGGAGGCAUGCAGGGGAGAACGGAAUUCCUGGUGUAGCGGUGAAAUGCGCAGAUAUCAGGAGGAACACCGGUGGCGAAGGCGGUUCUCUGGGCAUGUCCUGACGCUGAGGAGCGAAAGUGUGGGGAGCGAACAGG
rnacentral:rRNA from 1 species